AGAGUUUGAUCAUGGCUCAGAUUGAACGCUGGCGGCAGGCCUAACACAUGCAAGUCGAGCGGUAGCACAGGAGAGCUUGCUCUCUGGGUGACGAGCGGCGGACGGGUGAGUAAUGUCUGGGAAACUGCCUGAUGGAGGGGGAUAACUACUGGAAACGGUAGCUAAUACCGCAUAACGUCUUCGGACCAAAGUGGGGGACCUUCGGGCCUCACGCCAUCAGAUGUGCCCAGAUGGGAUUAGCUAGUAGGUGGGGUAAUGGCUCACCUAGGCGACGAUCCCUAGCUGGUCUGAGAGGAUGACCAGCCACACUGGAACUGAGACACGGUCCAGACUCCUACGGGAGGCAGCAGUGGGGAAUAUUGCACAAUGGGCGCAAGCCUGAUGCAGCCAUGCCGCGUGUGUGAAGAAGGCCUUCGGGUUGUAAAGCACUUUCAGCGAGGAGGAAGGGUAGUGUGUUAAUAGCACAUUGCAUUGACGUUACUCGCAGAAGAAGCACCGGCUAACUCCGUGCCAGCAGCCGCGGUAAUACGGAGGGUGCAAGCGUUAAUCGGAAUUACUGGGCGUAAAGCGCACGCAGGCGGUUUGUUAAGUCAGAUGUGAAAUCCCCGCGCUUAACGUGGGAACUGCAUUUGAAACUGGCAAGCUAGAGUCUUGUAGAGGGGGGUAGAAUUCCAGGUGUAGCGAUGAAAUGCGUAGAGAUCUGGAGGAAUACCGGUGGCGAAGGCGGCCCCCUGGACAAAGACUGACGCUCAGGUGCGAAAGCGUGGGGAGCAAACAGGAUUAGAUACCCCGGUAGU
rnacentral:rRNA from 1 species